rnacentral:rRNA from 1 species
GACGAACGCUGGCGGCGUGCCUAAUACAUGCAAGUCGAACGCAGUGGGGACGGGUGAGUAACACGUGGGUAACCUCCCAUCAGAGGGGAUAACACUUGGAAACAGGUGCUAAACCGAUACUGAUGGAUGGACCCGCGGUGCAUUAGCUAGUUGGUGCGGUAACGGCUCCCCAAGGCCACGAGGCAUAGCCGACCUGAGAGGGUGAUCGGCCAAACUGGUACGUGUACAAGGCCCAGACGCCUACGGGAGGCAGCAGGAGGGAAUCUUCGGCAAUGUACGAAAGUCUGACCGAGCAACGCCGCGUGAGUGAAGAAGGUUUUCGGAUCGUAAAACUCUGUUGUUAGAGAAGCGGUAUCUAACCAGAAAGCCACGGCUAACUACGUGCCAGCAGCCGCGGUAAUUC